rnacentral:rRNA from 1 species
GUGAACGCUGGCGGCGUGCCUAACACAUGCAAGUCGAACGAUGAUAGGAAGCUUUCUUUCUUGAUUAGUGGCGCACGGGUGAGUAAUGCAUAGCUAAUGUUCCCCUUAGUUCGGGAUAGCCACUGGAAACGGUGAUUAAUACCGGCUACUCCUUCUUGUUAUAAGACAAGUCGGGAAAGUUUUUCGCUAAGGUCUCAGUCUAUGUUCCAUCAGUUAGUUGGUGAGGUAAUGGCUCACCAAGACUAUGACGGAUAUCUGGGUUGAGAGGAUGAUCAGACACACUGGAACUGAGACACGGUCCAGACUCCUACGGGAGGCAGCAGUGAGGAAUAUUGCACAAUGGAGGAAACUCUGAUGCAGCAACGCCGCGUGGAGGAUGACGCAUUUCGGGGUGUAAACGCCUUUUAGUAGGGAAGAUAAUGACGGUACCUACUGAAUAAGCACCGGCUAACUCCGU